rfam:Trichophyton interdigitale MR816 cont1.167, whole genome shotgun sequence.
UCCUCGCCAAAGCUGCGUUUCUUUGCUACAUCCGCCAGUUCACGCUGGAGUUACACUUGCAAAUGAGAAAUUCGGAGUAUUCUUCAACCUUUCAACCAGCUUCUUGCACGCCUACAGUGAGGAAGCUCGGUACUGCCCGUGAGGGUCUGGCAUGAAAAGUGUCUGCAAUUUGGCAUCAGAAACAUCGGGGGCGAGGGUGCGGAUGGGUGGCCUGGGAGAAAUCCUGGGCCUCGCUUCUGUAUUCCUCGCCCCCUUGGGAGAGCCGUUGCGAAGAUUGUGUGUGUCUUCCUUCGGGGAGACGCGACACCUAAGUGCAAUACGCAGCGUAUCAUGGCUCCCUCGAUUGAGAGGAGAGCCUGGUAUCAUUCGAUUCCGAUUACUCUGGCGAGGA